CCUACGGGUGCAGCAGUGGGGGAUAUUGCACAAUGGGGGGAACCCUGAUGCAGCGACGCCGCGUGGGUGAAGAAGCGCCUCGGCGCGUAAAGCCCUGUCAGCAGGGAAGAAAAUGACGGUACCUGAAGAAGAAGCCCCGGCUAACUACGUGCCAGCAGCCGCGGUAAUACGUAGGGGGCAAGCGUUAUCCGGAUUUACUGGGUGUAAAGGGGGCGCAGACGGCGAUGCAAGCCAGGAGUGAAAGCCCGGGGCCUAACCCCGGGACUGCUCUUGGAACUGCGUGGCUGGAGUGAAGGAGGGGCAGGCGGAAUUCCUGGUGUAGCGGUGAAAUGCGUAGAUAUCAGGAGGAAAACCGGUGGCGAAGGCGGCCUGCUGGACUGCAACUGACGUUGAGGCCCGAAAGCGUGGGGAGCAAACAGGAUUAGAUACCCGUGUAGUC
rnacentral:rRNA from 1 species